GACGAACGCUGGCGGCGCGCCUAACACAUGCAAGUCGAACGAGCGAGAGAGAGCUUGCUUUCUCGAGCGAGUGGCGAACGGGUGAGUAACGCGUGAGGAACCUGCCUCAAAGAGGGGGACGACAGUUGGAAACGACUGCUAAUACCGCAUAAGCCCACGGCUCGGCAUCGAGCAGGGGGAAAAGGAGCAAUCCGCUUUGAGAUGGCCUCGCGUCCGAUUAGCUAGUUGGUGGGGUAACGGCCCACCAAGGCGACGAUCGGUAGCCGGACUGAGAGGUUGAACGGCCACAUUGGGACUGAGACACGGCCCAGACUCCUACGGGAGGCAGCAGUGGGGAAUAUUGCACAAUGGGGGAAACCCUGAUGCAGCGACGCCGCGUGGAGGAAGAAGGUCUUCGGAUUGUAAACUCCUGUUGUUGGGGAAGAUAAUGACGGUACCCAACAAGGAAGUGACGGCUAACUACGUG
rnacentral:rRNA from 1 species